AUAUAAACAUUUAAUAACAAAUACUAUAUUAUACAUUUUCAACAUUAACGGUUAAACAGUGUCUGGCAAUGGGAGAAUACAAUAUAAAACCAUUUAUUAGUUAUAUUAAAAUAAUUGGGAACAAAUCACCUCACGGUCAAUUAGCCAUAAACUAGGAUUCCCUGUACUAUGGGAACUAAAGGCUGGUAUACAUUAAAUACGUUAAAAUUUAUAAUCAAAUACAAUAUACACAUAAUAUGUCGAAUAUAUGAAUUUCUGGCAACAUUAAUAAAAAAUAUGAAAAUGCAUAUUUAUUCGCAACCUCAAUUUUAAAUAGCUUGUACUUCUGCGUUUUUUUUAGAGUUAUUCUUAAUUUUUCAUGAUCCAUGUGUAAAUCAACACCGAGGAACACGAUGCAAGGAGAAGGAAGGAGUAUAUAAAGGCGGAGUUGUACGCACCACGACCUUCGAUAAACGAUCACCAUUUUACCACCAUAUCCAUCACAAUGAAAAUAUUGGUGCUCAUCUCGAAACCAGGUGGAAGCCUCAAUAACUGUAUCAUAGAAACUGUUGUCCUACGUAUGCAUCGUGGCAGGUAUUUCAACUUUAAAUUAGUCUACUGUAAAGUUCACGUAUUGUCGCUUCGAUAUGGACAAUUUUUGACGGUUAUAGCUAACUAUGAAUUCCAUGAAACUUUAAUUCACAUUAUACCACAUCCCUGUACUGUGAUUCUUUAAUUAAGGAAAUAGGUAUGCCGCAUCCGAAUCGUUCUUAUCUUGGUCAUGUUAGCGCGACAUGACACUUAGAAUAAUCAUAUAACUCAAGAACGGCUGAACUGAUUUGGCUGAAAAAUUUUAUCACGUUUCUGUGGGAUGUGACAUAAAAUGUGGUAUAACAAAACGCAACAGAUAUGGAAUAACAAAACGCAACUGACAGAUAAACGUAAUGUAGUUUAUGGUUAAUUAUAGUAGAAUUUUGAAGUUGACCGGUUGAUGUGUUUAUUUCGAGUUUCGAUUAGCUUAUUGUGCCGAUAUAGGUAAUCAUUAAGAAAGCCAUGCCGCGACCAACACGAUCAAAUCUUUCCCGACGAAACCGUAAUGCAACUAGGAUUCGAAACAUUGCGAGUGAAAGGACAGAAGAAGAACAAGAAAAUACUAUAAUAAUAACUAAAAUACAUGACCAAUAAAUAAUUAUUAAAAUA